rnacentral:rRNA from 2 species
GGGNGCUAUACAUGCAGUCGAACGAACUCUGGUAUUGAUUGGUGCUUGCAUCAUGAUUUACAUUUGAGUGAGUGGCGAACUGGUGAGUAACACGUGGGAAACCUGCCCAGAAGCGGGGGAUAACACCUGGAAACAGAUGCUAAUACCGCAUAACAACUUGGACCGCAUGGUCCGAGUUUGAAAGAUGGCUUCGGCUAUCACUUUUGGAUGGUCCCGCGGCGUAUUAGCUAGAUGGUGAGGUAACGGCUCACCAUGGCAAUGAUACGUAGCCGACCUGAGAGGGUAAUCGGCCACAUUGGGACUGAGACACGGCCCAAACUCCUACGGGAGGCAGCAGUAGGGAAUCUUCCACAAUGGACGAAAGUCUGAUGGAGCAACGCCGCGUGAGUGAAGAAGGGUUUCGGCUCGUAAAACUCUGUUGUUAAAGAAGAACAUAUCUGAGAGUAACUGUUCAGGUAUUGACGGUAUUUAACCAGAAAGCCACGGCUAACUACGUGCCAGCAGCCGCGGUAAUACGUAGGUGGCAAGCGUUGUCCGGAUUUAUUGGGCGUAAAGCGAGCGCAGGCGGUUUUUUAAGUCUGAUGUGAAAGCCUUCGGCUCAACCGAAGAAGUGCAUCGGAAACUGGGAAACUUGAGUGCAGAAGAGGACAGUGGAACUCCAUGUGUAGCGGUGAAAUGCGUAGAUAUAUGGAAGACACCAGUGGCGAAGGCGGCUGUCUGGUCUGUAACUGACGCUGAGGCUCGAAAGUAUGGGUAGCAAACAGGAUUAGAUACCCUGGUAGUCCAUACCGUAAACGAUGAAUGCUAAGUGUUGGAGGGUUUCCGCCCUUCAGUGCUGCAGCUAACGCAUUAGCAUUCCGCCUGGGGAGUACGGCGCAGCUGAAACUCAAAGGAUUGACGGGGCCGCACAGCGUGAGCAUGUGGUUAUUCGAGCUAC